GAUCCGGCUCAGAACGAACGCUGGCGGCAGGCUUAACACAUGCAAGUUGAACGGGAUUUGUAUGGUGCUUGCACCAUGUAAUGAGAGUAGCGCACUGGUGAGUAACACGUGGGAACAUACCUUGAAGUGGGGGACAACAGUUGGAAACGACUGCUAAUACCGCAUAAUCCCUGAGGGGGAAAGAUUUAUCGCUUUAAGAUUUGGCCCGCGGAAGAUUAGGUAGUUGGUGGGGUAAAGGCCUACCGAAGCCGACGA
rnacentral:rRNA from 1 species